rnacentral:sRNA from 1 species
CCCUAGCCCUGAUGAAAGCGGCAUCCUUUUUAUUUUUUCUUUAAAAAUAAAAAGAUACAGCGGACAGCAGGAAACAGC